GAGCAGACGGCUGAGUUUAUUAAACUCCACCGAGACAGCUGGUGACGCAAAUCUGAAGGCUAGACCGUCUAAUUUCACAGUCUCGCACUUCUGGCCUUCUUGGUCUUUGGAGAACCCAGCCCAUGUGGAGACCACAAAAGCCGGGUCCUCCGAAGGAUGCAGCCCCUGAAUUUUGACACAGCUAUUGAGUCUGAAAAACAUUUUUAAUGCACAAAAUAUUUGCAUAGAUUUUACACAUUAAUGUUAAUGGUAUUUCAUGUGGCCUGUAGGUUUUUUUGCUAGCUUAUUGAUGAGAUUAGGUUUGUUAGUUCCCUUUUAUGAUCCAAUGCUGUUUCCCUAGCCCUGUCUCCUUGGUUGUCUUUCUGCAUCAUGUUUGGAUCCCAGGAAUUUAUUUAUUUGUUGUCCUGUUUCCUGUUUAGCUACUUCCUGUGUUACUUUGGUGGUCAUUUGUCUCUUGUGCUUUGUAUGUAGUAUAACUUCCUUUGUCUUGUUAUCCCUGAUUUGUUCCCACUAUAUCUCUCACCUGUUUCCUCUGCCAUCAUUAUCUGUUUUGGUGCUAGUUUCAGUCUUUAUGCAAAUGUACUGUUUAUAAGUGUAGCCAAGUGAACUAAUACUAGGCAUGGAAAGGGUUUAAAAAGAGGGGAUUACGUUUUUGACUGGUUGCCUGUCUACCAGAGGUCUUUUGUAGAGUUGUCAUGGUGAUGACUAGACCUCGCGUUUUGGGGGUAUACUGUCCCUUUAAGAGCCGCCGUAAGCCAGAGCACGCAUGCACUCAAGUUUGCGUCACACACUGAGCGCUGUGAGCGGGAGCACUGGAGAGUGACUGCAAAAGAUUCUGUGGCUAGCUACAGGGUAAAUGUGCUAAAAAGUGUAGCAUACUGCAAAAUAUUGUCACCAGUGUUGUAGUAGACUGUAAUUAGUUAACUUUCUUUAGCGAUGACUCCAUGUUUGUGACCAUUUCUGUAGAGUUCUUAACGUGCGACGGGUGUAUGUUUAAUGGUCAUGUGCUGUGAAAGGGACUGAAGAGCGGGUUGGCAGGGGAGAUCACUUGUUGUGUGAUUCUUGUGUGUGUACUUGUCCUAGCACAGUAGCUGUGUGGAGAAACCGAAGUGAGUUCAUGAUGUUCUCCCAUAGAAAUGUAGUAUGUUUAAAAGAGAGUUUACAGUGUACUUUAUUGCCAGUUGAACUGUGAAGUUGUGGGAUGUAAACAAUGUGUUUAUUUGUUUUGUUUUCUCUUUUUUUGUAUUUGUUUCUUGACAGGUCACAACUGUUGUCUAUACUGUUUGAAUUUAACGUGUACAUAUGAUAGUUACUGUUGUCUCAGACCCUGAAAGACAGCCGAGGCAAAACAAAACAGGAGCACCAGAAAGACAAAAAACAAAACACAAGUCCAGCACCAAAAAACAAUGAAAUGAAAUACACCAUAGCCCAAGAAAAUGGAGUCCAAAACAGAAGAGUUCAGGGGUCCGACCGUGCGGAUGGCAACGGCGGCGACGUGGAAACAGUCCGGGAGGCCGACCGUAAGGAAGGCAACGACGAUGACGACAGCACUGGUCCAGGGGCCAGCCGUGCGGAAGGCAACGGCGGCGACUCAGGCGAAGGGGGUCUGGGGGCCGGCCGCGAGGAAGGCCACGGCGGCGAUGUGGAACCAGUUCAGGGGGCCGACCGUGCGGUCGGAAACGGCGGCGACCCAGGCGACGGAGGUCCGGAAGCCGGCCGCGCGGAAGGCAGCGGUGCCGAAGUGGACACAAUUCAGGGGGCCGACCGUGCGGAAGGCAACGGUGGAGACUCAGGUGAAGGGAGUCUGGGGGCUGCCCACGAUGGCGAUGGCGCCUGGCCAGUGGCCUAGAAAGUGGCCGUUUAGCUGCAGACCCAAACGAGGCUGGGCCAGGCGACGCUGAAGACACGGAGGCUGGGCCAGUCAGCUGAUUUCAGUUUGAUGUUGGAAGAGGAAAAUACUGGCGCAGUCUGCAGUGUGGAUAUGGACGCUGUUGCACAAAAGAUCAUGAGCAUGAUGAUAAAGUCAAGACUGCUCAGGGACAGAAACAACUGCAUCAUACUGUUAACACAACUCAGCUCUUCGCAAGCACAGACAGCAAGCUAACACUAAGCAAGCCAAGAACCCAGAGUGAUGCUAAACCUGAAUAAAUGCUGACACCAGCCCAGCAUCGUAAUAAAGAGCCCUCAUUUGUGGUGAAGUCAGCCGCCGCUGAACUUCAACAGGUAACAAACUGAUGAACAGUCAGACCGCAGCCUCCAUUUCUACCAUUUCAAGCAGAAUCACCACAUUAAAGUCUCUUUGCACUGGUUUUCACCUUUGCUUUGUGUUAUCAGCUUUGUGCUCAUACCUAAAGACUAAGAGAAAGAUCAUGUGUGUCCUCAUUAGGAUAGGGAUUUGUGUUGGUGUGUGGGGCUGUAGCUUCAGGUUUAUAUUGUUAAAAGGUAAUUAUGAGUCAGUGUGUUUCAGAUCAUUUUACAGAGUAACAUGAAAGUAACAUAACAAGUAGUAUAGCAAAUGUCUUUCUCCUGGUUGUAAUUAAGUAACAUAUUGCAUUACUUUUAAGAAAAGUGUUCUGUGUAAUAUGUGUAAUAAUUACUUUUUUUGAGUAAUGACCCCAACACUGAUCACAAGAAAGAGGGGAAAUUCCUCCAACAUGCACAAACAUUUGAUGCAUGUAAUUAUUUUUGCAUGAAUGUGAUGUCUUGGAUAUGCUGCUUAGGAUGGUGACUCUCAAAGAAGAGCCAAUGAGAAUGAAUAGGGGAAUUGAUAAUGGGAUCGGAAUCGCUAAAUUCUUAUCAAUUCCCAUCCUUACUUAUAAGGAUCUCUUUCAUAUCAGAAUCACUGUGGUUAUUGCACAUAACAAGUUCUCCUGAGAACAUUUGUUCAUGUGCUGGAUGCAUUUUGUAUCAAGACAAUGACAUGUACUGCUGAUAGAAGAUAAACAGAGUUGUCUGAUGCCUUAUAGUACAUCUUAUCAAUGAAACUAGCUUCUGAUUGGCCAGUAGUUACAAGUGAAAGGCCUGACAUCUCUGUAACUGAAUAUGAAUGAGAUAAUAGUUUACAGUAAACUAAGUGGGGCGCUGAACUGACUCAUCACUGGUUUUCCUUGGAGCAUGUCUGACUCUGCUUGUUUGACAAAAUCAUUUUAAGUUCAAGUGAGGACAAUCCUCAUCAAAGGCUCAGUAACUAAAGCACAAACAAAAACUGGUCAAGACUGCUUCUGGCAUGCCACAUGUGAAUUAUUAAAAGGUCACCAUUAGCUUGAUAUGGGCAGACAGAUCUAUUGGUUCCAAAUCUACUUUGUGUACCAAAUGAUCCCAACAUGACUCUGUAGAACAAAAUGUUUCAUUAACUUGGAACACACAGAGCCUGCUGAUAAAACUUUGGGUUUGCAUGUAAAAACACUCAUUAUGCUGUUGUAUUCCUUUUCUACUUCCAAUACAAAUUCCUGUAAAUCUUGUGUCAUCAAAAUAGGGAAAAACAAAUACACAGCAUGAGAGCAGCAGAGAAAAACACACUCCUCCGCCUGAGGAGAGUUCCAUAAGUGAGUUGUGAAAUGUAAUAUUUAAGCUUGGUUUUUUUUUUUUAAAUAAAAAGCCUAGUCUUUUCUUUUUAUUUUAUUUUAUUUUAUUACAAUAGAACAAUACAGAAUGCAUAAAACUAGUAAAUAAAAGAUAUGUAAAUAUAUUAUGAACAAAAAAAGGGGGGAAAAGAAUUACAUGGUUUAAUUUGAAUGCUGUGUCCUCCUCUGUUCUGUUUCCUGUGUUUCCAAUUGGCUUCUGCCCUCCUCUGCAUUAUAUUUUGUUUUCUACUGUGAGUUACCAGAAAUAAAAGCUGAGUUUUGAGUUCACAUUCUGUCCCCCAAGAACUGUAUCUGGACCCAGUCCUGCCUACUGUAUGAUACAAUGAGACAAGAAGAAAAAUAAAACUGUAGAGAAACUAUCAUGAGUGAGACCAUGUAGACACAUAAAUGAACUUAAGCUAGGGGAAUUGACAGGAAACACUGAGGGAACAAAACAAGCACUAAAACUAGGAUUGGGUUAUAUCAAUAACUGAAGUCACUAAAAUGCUGACUAAAACAAACAUCAAUAAACAAAACAACGAACACCAAACACAGAAUACAAUGCAAAAGGCUCAAAAACCCUGGUAAUUGACCCUCCAGUCCCUGUCAUGAUGACAGGGACACUAGUGAAUACCAGUGGUGAAGGAGCCUGUCAAACUGAAGAAGGAUACUUUCCAGGCUUGGUAGGCUUGGACAAAAGGGGCAAAAGGGCUGGGGUUUUACCAGUUAGAGAAGCAAAAAGCUGGGUGUGAGAGAUGUUUGGGAAGGCAUCAAAGAAGUUAUGGCAAGGCAUCCAGCAACUCAAAAAGGAAAAGCAGGGUAUUGCUCUGAUUGUGUUCGGUUUGGGAGGAGAAAUACUGAUUUAGAGUCGGGAUACUUUUGGGGAAAAAGCACUUUGGAACCCCUAAGCCUGACCAAAGCAUCCUAUGUGAAGACGACAGAGCCUGAAUACUUGAGGUAACUCCCACCAUGGACCACUAGUCAUUCAACAUCCCAACGCUCAUCUAUGGUGAAGAGUAACAUAUGAAAGAGUAACCUUUGAAUGCAAGCAGCCAAAAUGAGUUUCCUGUGUAGGGUUGAUGGGCUCAGCCCAGGAUACACAUGGUGUGAAGCUUAGACAUCUGGAAUGAUCUUGAAGUAGAUACUCUUUCUUCUGUGAGCCAGCUCUUUUAGGUAUCUGGUUAAAUGCCUCCUGGGGACACCUUGAAAACAAGUGAAUACUAGUAAUGUCUUGACUUCUUUAUCUAACUUUCCUGACUAAAUACCUGCAGAUCCAGUGAUGUUCCAGUCACCCUCAGCUGUAUUUGAGUUCUGUGCUAAUUAACAAAUGUUAGCAAGUUAACAUGCUAGAAGACAGUAACUGACAAAGAAAAAUUGCUCAACUAUUAUCAUGUUGACAAUUGUUGAGAUGGUGACCUUAGGUUUUGCAAAUAAUGCAGAGAUACCAAAUGUAGCGUGACUGCUACAUUUGGAUGAGAUUACCAUUACAGGGCAAGAGUUAUUUUUUUAAAUGUAGUAUGUUAUAAACAAGGCCAUUCAAAAAUAAAAAGUUUUACAAAAAAAGUAGUAUUAUCUUUUUCUGAAAAAUGACUGUACCAGCAUGUCGAAGCAAUAAUUUGCAUCUGCACCUGGCUGCACUCUGCAGAACUGUGGGACUUUGUUUUUGAUUGCUUUCCAAUUUGUGACCCAGUUUUGGGUGUAAUGACGCACCUGCUGAGAAAAGCCUGGGUUGAUAAAUGUCUAGGAUUCAAGAUAAAUACUGACUGGAGAUAAUGGUUUACCCACCUUUGACUUAACAGUGCAUCGUUGCUUAAUGUCACAAUCUUAAAUGAUCCUUUAAAAUGCUCUUUUCCUCCCAAUUUCCCCUCUCUCUCUUUGGUUCCCAUUUGCGUCAGUGAUCAGACAUAAUUGGUUCUGAUUCACAAUAAGCCGACGGCUUGAAUGUGCUGUGCAGGGAGCAGUUGAGUUGUUAGAAUGCUGACUAAGAAUGAGUUGCUCUCAGGUCCAGAACGCUCGUGUUUAUUUCUGCAAAGAAUACGAAACACAUUUAUCCUUCCCACCCUGACAAAUGUUGUAACAUUGUAACUCAGUGUCUUCCUCCUCCUCACUGUGUUUGCUUUAGAUGAUAUUGUUUUUAGUGAUACAUUAGGAGGUUUUUAUUGUCAUAAAAAUAUCAGUCAGAACCAGUUUAGGGCUACUGCAGGGACAGACACCCCUACUUGAUUGUGUUUUCUGGGGAUACAAAAAGACAUAUGGAAAAGUAGUCUUGAUUCUCUAUGACCUUAGUAGAAUCUCCUAAUGAAUUUAUGAGCUCAGUCACUAUUUUCACAAUUUUAAGAGUAGAGGCUAAAGAUGUGAAAUAAAGAUGGAGUUUGGUAGUUUGUUCCCUGGCUGCUCCAGUCAGCAUGCCAAAUAUUCUUGGGGAAGAUACACAACAAAAUCUCCAGUGUUAAAUUAACACUAGAGA